rnacentral:rRNA from 1 species
UCGAGAAUCUUUGUCAAUGGGCGAAAGCCUGAACAAGCGAUGCCGCGUGCGGGAUGAAGGCCUUCGGGUUGUAAACCGCUGUCAGAGGGAAGGAAAUUUUGACCAAACCUCAGAGGAAGGUCGGGCUAAGUUCGUGCCAGCAGCCGCGGUAAGACGAACCGACCGAACGUUAUUCGGAAUUACUGGGCUUAAAGGGUGCGUAGGCGGCCAUGCAAGUCAGAUGUGAAAUCCCACGGCUCAACCGUGGAACUGCGUUUGAAACUGCAUGGCUUGAGGGAGAUAGGGGUGAGCGGAACUGAUGGUGGAGCGGUGAAAUGCGUUGAUAUCAUCAGGAACACCGGUGGCGAAGGCGGCUCACUGGGUCUCUUCUGACGCUGAGGCACGAAAGCUAGGGGAGCGAACGGGAUUAGAUACCCCCGUAGUCC